CGGCUGUUUAACACAAGGUCUUGGUCUUAAACCUCUUGUUAUCUUAACUCCUUACUUAUACAUGCAAGCCUCAACAUAACAGUGAAACAGCCCACCACAAAACCCAUUGGAGCUGGUAUCAGGACAAUAACCCAUAACACCAAGCAAACAAGCCACACCCCCACGGGCCAGCAGCAGUACUUAAUAUUGGGCUAUAAGCGCAAGCUUGACCCAAUAACGGAACCCCCCCAGGGUCGGUUAAUCUCGUGCCAGCGACCGCGGUUAUACGACAGACCCAAGAUAACAUCCCCCGGCGUAAAGCACGACUAAAAGCACAAAGUCCAUAUGUUAAGGAUAAAGGCAAGCCGGGCUGUAAAAAGCCAUAGGCAACACUAAACAUAUACCCUAACACUUAAACAACUUUAACUCGUGAAAGCCAGGGUACAAACUAAGAUUAGAUACCUUACUAUGCCUGGCCUUAAAAAAACAAUCAAAUAACCAAUUGUUCGCCAAAUAACUACGAGUAAAAACUUAAAAUUUAAAAGACUUGACGGUACUUCACCCCGACCUAGAGGAGCCUGUCCAAUAACCGAUAAUCCACGAUUAACCCAACCAACUCUAGCCUAACAGUCUAUAUACCGCCGUCGCCAGCUUACCUUGUGAAAGAAACAAAGUAAGCCCAAUAACACCCAUUAACACGACAGGUCGAGGUGUAACUAAUGAGUUGGACCAAGAUGGGCUACAUUUUCUCAGCCAGAAAAAACGAACAGACUAUGAAACUAGAAACUGAAGGCGGAUUUAGCAGUAAGCUGGGAAUAAAUACCCCUAACUGAAGCUAACGUAAUGAAGUGCGCACACACCGCCCGUCAUCCCUGUAAAAUAUACAGAAUGUUCAUAAAAAACCACAUUACACCAAAGCAGGGCAAGUCGUAACAUGGUAAGCGUACUGGAAAGUGUGCUUAG
rnacentral:ncRNA from 1 species